CAGUAGCCGCGGUAAUACGGAGGGUGCAAGCGUUAAUCGGAAUUACUGGGCGUAAAGGGCGCGUAGGCGGACAUUUAAGUCAGAGGUGAAAGCCCAGGGCUCAACCUUGGAACUGCCUUUGAUACUGGGUGUCUAGAGUGCGGGAGAGGUGUGUGGAACUCCGAGUGUAGAGGUGAAAUUCGUAGAUAUUCGGAAGAACACCAGUGGCGAAGGCGACACACUGGCCCGUAACUGACGCUGAGGCGCGAAAGCGUGGGGAGCAAACAGGAUUAGAUACCCCAGUAGUCCCUGUUUCUUAUAC
rnacentral:rRNA from 1 species